ensembl:lncRNA
GUGCUCAACAGGAAAUCAUGUGUCUGAUUUUCAGUCGAGCUGAAAGCCAUGAAACUCAUUCUGCGGUGGAUUUUUUGCUUCAGUUUAGGUUUUGUCGCUGAUUGCCAAGUGAAUCGUUAUGGAUUGAAAGGAAGCUCAAUCCGUCUGAGCAUCAGUCCCAGAAAUCAGUCACUAACUAAUGUUGGAUGGCAACGAUUAAACAGGAAAGAGAUGCUCACAGACGCAAAUGACGUUUCCCCUCAUUUUGAGAAAAGAAUGAGCCUAAACGUCUCAGACAUGUCUUUGACCAUACACGACCUGGAGGAAAAUGACAGUGGACUGUAUGAAGCCCUUAAGAAGUGGGAGGUUGAACCUCUGGCUGCAUUCACACUUACAGUGGAGAACACUGUCUCUAAGCCUGUAAUCAGAGUGGAUCAACAUGACUUUAAUUCGUCUGCUGAAGUGUGUCGGGCUGCAGUGAACUGUUCAGCUGAUGGCAGCUGGGCCACGUUUGACUGCCACCAAAAUGUCUGUACAAAGAUACAAUCCUCUCCAUUCUCCAUUAACAUCACUGUCACUGCACUGGACAGCAGUGGCAUCAAAUGCAACGUCAACAACAACGUGAGCAUGAAUCAUUCUCAGACUCCCUUUACGUGCCAUGAAAAGCAGAAAAGUGAUUAUCGUUUUCUCCCAUCGCUCAUCUUCUGGAUCGUUGGCACCGUUUGUGGUGGUGUUUUGUUGGGUUUGGUUAUGGGUGGGAUUGUAGCAUUUGUCAAGAGAAGAAAAUGUUCAAAAGUUCAUCCACAGUCCAGUCGUGUUGUGAUUGAACAGCAUCAUGAAACAAUUUACUGCACCGUGGAAAAGCCGGCCACAUCCCAGACACAUCCAGGAAACAACACUGUCAGCAACAAAGUAGAAACCAUCUACGACACUCCAUCACGACAUACCAAGGCUUGUCAAGUAGACAGUGUGGAGGUGAUGAGAGACAAUCAGGAGCAACAGCAAUCUGGACAAGACAGAACUAUUCAAGUAAAAGCUACAGUUCACCAGGCAGCAGAACCCGAUUCAGAUCCAAUAAACACUGUUUACUGUAAACUGGGAGAGAUAUGACACAAACACAUACUGAGACGUCACUUCAGUGGAGAUUUAAAU